rnacentral:rRNA from 1 species
CAGCCGUAAACUAUGCGCGUUAGGUGUAUCGGUGACCACGAGUCACCGAGGUGCCGAAGGGAAACCGUGAAACGUGCCGCCUGGGAAGUACGGUCGCAAGGCUGAAACUUAAAGGAAUUGGCGGGGGAGGCACCGCAACGGGAGGAGCGUGCGGUUUAAUUGGAUUCAACACCGUAAACUACACCAGGGAAGACUGUUACAUGAAGGCCGAGAUGAAGACUCUGCUAGAUUUUCUAGAGAGGUGGUGCAUGGCGUCAGUGACU